rnacentral:lncRNA from 1 species
UCGAUCCUGCCCCAGGGUGUUUUCCAGAAUUUGCACGGCUCCCUAAUUACCUAGUAAUGCUGAGGGCUUAUGAAAAUGCUGUCAUUUGUGUGAGAAGGGGAGGGAAGACUGAAAGAAGAAGAAAAAAAAAAGCAGAUAGAAAAUGCUGUUAAACCUGGCAGAACUCCAGGGUUAUUUCAGCAGAAACCCUGGUCCAGGAGAGUCUAUGAAGUUCCAGCUUACACCAGACACGACCAGCAUCCAGAGAGAACUGAAAGAAGCUUGAAUCCUCUCACUAGAAUCCCUGCAAAAUGACUCAUGUAAUUGCUCUGUGUAAGUAUCCUUAGUCUUUAUUGUACACCC